rnacentral:ncRNA from 1 species
AGGGGUAGAGGCGCGGGAGCGAUGAGUAUUUUCCGGAGGCGGUAGCCCGGGAAGGAAGAGAAAGGCAAUCUCGCCGAAACGAUGAAGCGGACACGUGACAUUGUUGGGGCGGCAUCAAACAGGUGUCGCACUGUCACCGAACAACGGUGGUGCGCUAUCGGA